GACGAACGCUGGCGGCGUGCCUAACACAUGCAAGUCAACUUGACGGAAGGAGCAAUCUGACCGUAGAGUGGCGCAAGGGUGCGUAACGCGUAAGUAACUUGCCCCAAGGUAAGGAAUAACGUCGAGAAAUCGGCGCUAAUACCUCAUAAUGCAGCGGAUCCGCAUGGAUAUGUUGUUAAAAGGUUUACCGCCUUGGGAUAGGCUUGCGUCUGAUUAGCUAGUUGGUGUGGUAACGGCACACCAAGGCUACGAUCAGUAACUGGUCUGAGAGGAUGAUCAGUCACACUGGAACUGAGACACGGUCCAGACUCCUACGGGAGGCAGCAGUGAGGAAUAUUGGGCAAUGGGCGCAAGCCUGACCCAGCAACGCCGCGUGAGGGAAGAAGGUUUUCGGAUUGUAAACCUCUGUCGCAGGGGACGAAGGAAGUGACGGUACCCUGUAAGAAGCCCCGGCUAACUACGUGCCAGCAGCCGCGGUAAU
rnacentral:rRNA from 1 species